AUAAAAAAGAACCUACAAUAAGGUUUUCUUCCUUAAACACUAACCCGGCCAAGACUCACCAAUAAGGUAACUCCGCCCUGUGUUUUUUGGAUCAAAUCCGGUGACAAUUCUCCACUCAUGUCAACCCGGCCAGUUCCCCGUUCUCCUUCCUUAUACUUAUAGGCUGCCGUAAAUGAUAAAGCUUCCAUAGCGGAACCCGAUCUUUAGAGAUUAGACAAGAACUGGGCUUUGCUUUCGUCACUAUAGUACAAACCCCAGAAUUUGCACCUGUAUUAAGGAAAUCUUUUUCAAUAGUCAAUCAAGGCCGAGUCUCACUCCUGUAGGUGGUGUGACCGUAGCUAUGGAAUCAGGUCCGGCUGUGACCGAGUCAGG
rnacentral:lncRNA from 1 species